rnacentral:rRNA from 1 species
UGGGGAAUAUUGCACAAUGGGCGCAAGCCUGAUGCAGCCAUGCCGCGUGUAUGAAGAAGGCCUUCGGGUUGUAAAGCACUUUCAGCGGGGAGGAAGGCGAUAAGGUUAAUAACCUCAUCGAUUGACGUUACCCGCAGAAGAAGCACCGGCUAACUCCGUGCCAGCAGCCGCGGUAAUACGGAGGGUGCAAGCGUUAAUCGGAAUUACUGGGCGUAAAGCGCACGCAGGCGGUUUGUUAAGUCAGAUGUGAAAUCCCCGGGCUCAACCUGGGAACUGCAUCUGAUACUGGCAAGCUUGAGUCUCGUAGAGGGGGGUAGAAUUCCAGGUGUAGCGGUGAAAUGCGUAGAGAUCUGGAGGAAUACCGGUGGCGAAGGCGGCCCCCUGGACGAAGACUGACGCUCAGGUGCGAAAGCGUGGGGAGCAAACAGG